rnacentral:rRNA from 1 species
GACGAACGCUGGCGGCGUGCUUAACACAUGCAAGUCGAACGGAGUGGCGAACGGGUGAGUAACACGUGGGUGACCUGCUCUGCACUUCGGGAUAAGCCUGGGAAACUGGGUCUAAUACCGGAUAGCGUGGGAUGGGCCCGGGGCCUAUCAGCUUGUUGGUGGGGUAAUGGCAUAACAAGGCGGCGACGGGAAGCCGGCCUGGGAGGGUGGACGGCCACAUGAGGACUGAGACACGGACCAGAGUCAAACGGGGGGCAGCAGGGGGGAAUAUUACGCAAUGGGCGGGAGCGUAAGGAGACGACGCCGCGGGGGGGAUGACGGCCUUCGGGUUGUAAACUCCUUUCACCAUCGACGCGGUAGAUGGAGAAGAAGCACCGGCUAACUACGUGCCAGCAGCCGCGGUAAUUC